UACGUAGGUGGCUAGCGUUGUCCGGAUUUACUGGGCGUAAAGAGCGCGCAGGCGGUCGUUCAAGUCGAGUGUGAAAGCCCCCGGCUCAACUGGGGAGGGUCACUCGAUACUGAUCGACUCGAAGGCAGGAGAGGGAAGCGGAAUUCCCGGUGUAGUGGUGAAAUGCGCAGAUAUCAGGAGGAACACCGGUGGCGAAGGCGGGUCUCUGGGCCGAUACUGACGCUGAGGAGCGAAAGCGUGGGGAGCGAACAGG
rnacentral:rRNA from 1 species